AUUUAUUUGACCCUUCUGUGAUGGUCGAUCAGCCUGGCACUGAGGAGGAAUUCAACCAAUAGGAGAUGAACAAGUUAAUGAUGAAUGAAAUAGUAGGAAGAAGCACAGUGCCUUAAAGUCCUGCUUUUUUGUUUUAAAUUCACCAAUAAAGAAUGAUCCUGUGAAACCUUCGGCCUCUACCAUCGAUCCCAUUAAAAGCAGAACCCUAAGUCUGUGCGUUUUUUCUCCCUCUACCCAUGACCUUCCUGUGUGGCCCAGGUACACUUGCAAAGUCACCCAAGCCAUCAAGUUGCCAGCUAUUAGGAAUGAAAAACAAUGUCUUCCCCAUCAAUAGCUGCUAUGAAACACAAUUUUUGGUGUCUCUGCCUAGUGAUUCAUUUCAUAUCCUAACAUUUAUCUGAAUCUUCAUUAAG